rnacentral:lncRNA from 7 species
CGCACUGCGGCACUCACUCACGCACUCAGCCUGCUAGGCAAGUCACCUCGGCUCUGCGCUCUUGGCCGCUUCCAAGACCUCCAGUCUUCUUUAACCGGAUAAACCCAGGAGCCGGGAAGCUAGGGUGCAGGCGUGAUCCUCCAACCCUUGAGAGCUAUGGACCUCCUGGAGUACUGGAAAAGAGAUCGUUGGGUUCUCGGACUGUUGACCUGCGUCCUUCCAAGCUGAUAAGCCCAGGACCCUAGGACGGGAUGCUAGGACUCCUGUGUGGCGCCUUGCUUUGAACCCUUUCCCAAGGGCUGUUUCCCAGAUGAGCCUUUGCCGCAAGGCCCUCUUGACACCAAGGAUGACGACGCAAAACCUGCGGCAGCCAACACCCCUCUCCCCACUCUCCGCACUCACUGGUGGGUGCCACCAUCCAGGAAGCAAGUAUCCCGGAGAUGGGAUAAAAAACCUUUUGGAGUCGCUGCCGUUUAUCAGAGCUUGGAGGAACGAUCUGAAAAGUGCUCUCUGACAGAAUUGACAGCUUGGUGCAGAGGGGACAUGAGAGGUGUCUCUGUCCAGCUAGGAAGCAGCUGGACCACAGCGCUCCCAAGGAACGUACUCCCCAACAUCAGUGUGGAGCGACCAGAGAGCAUGACCAUCUCGCAGUGAUCGCCUGCAGGGGCCUUAGCCAGGUGAUGGUGGUGGUACCCAGGAAGAGCAAGGUUGCUGGCACGCAACAUGCCUGCAGCCCUUGAUGCUGUUGGCUCACCAGCACGGAGCACCUUUUUACUUUGGUAGGUAUGCAGAGGGAAGGGCCUUGACUCUGGAGACUUGGGGACCAAAGUUAGAGACUCGCUAGGUCUGUCCCUCCCUUUAGAGCCACAGAAUGCCACGUGGCACUGAGGUUCUUGCUCUCACAAAUAAGCACUCGGGAAACCAGCCGUGUUAAACACGCAGGUUGUCUCUUCAAAGGGAGAGACAUAUAUCCUGUUUUCCUCCCAGAAGGCUGGGAGCGGAGGUGUUUAAUAUCCUGGCGAACUUUGUGCUAUCUGUAUGACCAAGACCAUGUCAGAGCCUCCCCUAGAGCCUUAAGGUAUCAUCUAUAAUGGGUCAGCUAGGUGGGGGGGGGGGGGCGCAUGCCUUUACUUCCGGUAUUCUUCUCCUAAACCCUUAAGAUGUCAUAUGUAAUCAGUCACCUGGGUGGUGGUGGUGCAUGCCUUUAUUUCCAGGACUUGGGUGGCAAAGGUGGGUGGAUCUCUGAGUUCGAGGCCAGCCUGGUCUACAGAGUGAGUCCAGGUCAGCCAGGACUACACAGAGAAAUCUUCUGUCUCAAAUAAACAAAAC